UACGGAGGAUGCAAGCGUUAUCCGGAAUGAUUGGGCGUAAAGGGUCCGCAGGUGGCAGUGUAAGUCUGCUGUCAAAGAAUGAGGCUUAACCUUAUCAAGGCAGUGGGAACUACACAGCUAGAGUACGGUCGGGGUAGAAGGAAUUCCUGGUGUAGCGGUGAAAUGCGUAGAGAUCAGGAAGAACACCGGUGGCGAAAGCGUUCUGCUAGACCUGUACUGACACUGAGGGACGAAAGCUAGGGGAGCGAAUGGG
rnacentral:rRNA from 1 species